rnacentral:lncRNA from 1 species
CAGGUGAAUGGCCCAACCUAUGAACAAGACGUAGAAACUUCACCCUAAUAAGCUCAACUUUCUCAUGCAACUGUUUUUGUUCCUUGGUCAUUUGAUCAUCAGGCUCUGCUGCUACAGCCAGUUCAGAAGGACUAAGAAGGUUUGAUCGUGCAGGACGGGGAAGAGUAGGUUUCAGAGAUGGAAUUGAGGACCCCAGACCAGCUGGACGGUCAACCAAGAAGAUUCUAUUAGCAUCUUGAGAAGUGACACUGAUACCUCCAUCAUCAGUGGAACUGCUUGCCGCUUUCAGAAGCGCAAUCAAUGCAUCAGAAUCGAUCAUUGCAUGUCUUCCAUCCUCCUCGUCAGUCACCAACUCUUCAUCUGAAUCCAAAAUAAUCUGGCCGUCUACAUCCUUUGAGUCAUCUGACACUGAAUGAGGGGUGACACUAGAAGAGCCUUCUUCUAAUUCACUCAUCAGCUGUUUUGCAGUUUCUGAGCUCGUCGAUAUUGCCACCCUAGGUGGUCCAUCAGAAACUAAGUUUUCGUCUUCGUCCUCUGCCUUCUCCUGGUCAAGGUCUUGCACAUGAUCAAUCAAAUCUUCACUCGGUGUUGGUUCUGGUUCUGUAACUGAAGUUGGUAAUUGAGCAAGUGCAUCUUCAUUCACACCAGAAGCCCCAAAGUCAUCUCCUUCAGUCACCCUGUUUCUUGAUUCCCCAGCAGUGAUAGAUGGAGAUUGCCUAUCUUGGGCUGAUAUUGAAUUUUGCCCAUCUGGAACCAAUUCAGGCACAGGCUCAUCAUUGUUUGCCUCAGUUCCAUUUGCGGUUCGAUUCGAUUCAUUUGUUAGCUUCUCAUCCACUAUCUCCUGAACAGAACGCUCACUAGAGACAGUUUCACCAUCACUAGCUGUAUCCACUUUCUCCUGAAUAGAAGGCUUACUAAAGACAGUUUCACCAUCACUCACUGUAUCAUCUUUGUUAGCAGAACUUUCACCGGACUUACUAUCUGCAACUUCAUGAUUCUCACUCAAAUCAUUUUUCCUCAUAUUUGAUCCAUCAAGCUUUCCGGUUGAAACAUAGACCAUCAUAGUGUCCACACCGGAAUAACUCUGUAUUAAAUUUUCGUUCAUCUCUUCGUCAUUUACUCCAUGAGUUGAUUUGGAUGAUUCAUCUACUGUUUGAGAAGCAGGAGUACUUCCUUGGUUGACACAUUGAUCAGAAUCGGCAUUUUCAGAAGUGCCAAUGUCCACCUCGCUGAUAUCAGCUUUGUCUCCGCCCGUCCCUUUAGCAGGUUUUCCCAAUUUCUCGACCAAGCCUCCAUCUUUCUCCGGAGCAUCAGGGUCUACUUGCUCCUCAUUCCUAUCCACAUUUCCAGCGGCAGCAGUCCCAUCCUCGACUGGGUUAUCCUCAAUGCUCAAAGUGGGAGCAACCCCAGCAAUGUCAAUGUUCACCUCUUCCAUCCCAGCUUUGCCUCCGUUUUUCUCUUCUUCGGCGGUAUCAAACUUGUCGUUUGCUGUCUUUGACUCCAGUAGCACAUCAAUAACAGGCCUAGCAGAUUCUCCCAAUUUGUCGACCAAACUUCCAUCUUUCUCCUGAGCACCAGGGUCUGCACGCUCCUCAUCCCUAUCCACAUUGCCAGCUGCAGCAGUCUCAUCCUCGACUGGGUUCCCUUCGAUGCUCAAAGUGGGAUUCUCCACAGUCUCCAUCUCCCGUGCGGCACGUAUACAAAUUGGGUAGACAUUUUGAUCGGAAACUGCGGCAACGCCAACUUUCACGUCAUCCGCAACAUCAGGUUCGGCUACAUGUCUCUCUUCCUCAACCGCACCAAUAGUAGGGGUAGCAGACUCUCCCGAUUCCUCGACCAAGCCCUCAUCAUUCUCCUCGUGAGCAUCGUGGAGUCCGAGCUCCUCGUCGCCAUCGACAGAACCAUCCCCGAUUGGCUUCGUUUCGGUGCUUUGCGAAGUGGAAUUCUCCGUCGACUCUUUCACCACAGCCGACAAAACCUCACGAUGUGAGGUCUCCUCUGUCCUAGGGAUUUCACUUGACAGCAUUUCCACGGUCUCAUGUUGGGAAUUGCCUUGGACGGUGGCCAAAACCUGAGUCUCCGAUGGGGGCUCACCUUUCUCCUCUCCUUCCAUGAGUUCACCAUCAUUCAAUGAUCCUGAAGCUUUAGCGGCAUCCGAGAACCCAUCGUCGUCCCCAUAUUCCAGCGCCUCCUGGAACGCCUCCUCGUCCGGGUCGUCGUCCGGAGUCUCCUGUGCUACAGGCAUCGAGGAGGUGGUCGUCAAGGUGCCUCCGGCCGCGGCCGAGGCGGGGGCCGAGCCGUCACUGCUCUCCUUUUCCGGUUCCACGGCGGCACGGGGAUCCCCGUCCCCUCCUGUGUCUCCGUCGGGUUCGCUCGUCAUCGGGGCUUCCUUGGCUUCCGACGAGACUGACGCGCCGCUCACCUCGGACGCCAUCGGUAAGGAGGGGAGCGACGAGACGACCCGAAGGAGCGGAAAAGAAGGCAGAAAGAGUUCUACAAGCCGAGUGACGAGCGUCUAAUGACCGAAUGGGGUUGGGAAGUGAUAAGGAGAGCGGGCGGCAUGAGAUCAGAUAAGGCAGGGAGGCGAGCGUUCUGUUUUUGCCCUUUUCCUGAACAAUUUUUUUUUCUCUAUAUACAGAAUAAUGUAGUUUGGGCCAUUGAUGGCAGCCCAAAAGUAAAUUUGGGCUUUCAAUUUCCUCACCGUAUGAUGUCAUAGAUUGGGUUAUUUACGAUGGUGUGUUGAGAACGCUCGGGUAUCGGCCAUCCAAACAUUGUAAGGGAUCUAACCAAAAGCACAUUUUCGACUCUAAUCAAUUGAAUCUGUUUGGACGGAGUAAUGUACUGCGAUUUUGUUUGAAUCAAAAAAAUACGUUUGUUCGAAAAACAAAGAUAAAUUAAUUAUCUUUUAUGUUCGUUUUGGUUGUCCCACUGAUUUGUUUGUUGUGCCCUCAUAUCAAUUUGCUAGGAUCAGAUCAGCAUCUUCCAUUAGGUGGUUUAUUUAUGCCUUGAUGAUUUGCUACCAUCAAAUUACUUUGAUUGAUUGGUUGAUCACUAAAAUUUUCUAAAUACUAAAAAUAUCUAAUGCCUAUCGAAGCUGAAACUUUAAUAAGAGUAGACAGAUGGCAUUGUACGUGAUUUUAACGAUUACGAGUAUGAAAUCUCAUCUCAUUUCAGAUGUAAACUUUUCCCAAAAAUAACAUUUGAUUCGAUGCACUAAACUAAGUCGGUCAUCAAGAGGUAAUACACCGUGCUCAUCUUUCCCUCUCCGCGGCAGCCGUCGUCGCUGCUCUCUCGUUUUUUCCUUCGUCGCCCUCACAUCACAUGCUCUCCAUGGAGGUGGGGACGAUAUAGGAGUAAGUCUCAUCAUUUGAUCUACUUGGUUCUAAACUACAAUUUUUAUUUCUAAUAAUAUCAAUCCGUACAUGGUGUGAGAAUAUGUAUUAAACAAUAAUAAUAAUACUUUUAUUGCAUGAUUAAUCACCGAUCGAGAUAUCAACAUGUUAUGGCCAUAGGGCAUACCUGGGUGAGGUUCCUGCUGUAGUGUAGAUCCAGCCGCCGGCCUUUAGCAGGUUUGAUUAGGAAACUCAUGGCGGAGCAUUGAAUGAUGGACGGUGACCUGAAUCCUCGUGCGGGAGUCAAAACCUGAGAGAGAUGAAAGAAAAGAGUUAGUUCAUCAUCGGAAGCAACAAUAUUUAAAGAGUUUUCCUGAUUAACCACUUAAUCGAUCAAGAUUGAUACAAGUUUGCUUAUCUGCGUUAUUCUUUCCGAUGCACAGUCCUCCCACGCCCUAAAGAGCUCGCAGUAGUAGUAUGUCGCCCUCGUCACCAUCUUCCCCCUCCGCUCGCUCCCUCGCCAUGUCUUAUGCUGGACCAGAUUUUUUUUUGUUUUGCUACAGGGAUUUGGAACCUAAUUCCAUAUCAUUAAUCUCCUCUGUCCACGGUCACAGUAAGGAUAUUAUUCAUACGAGAGGGAGGGAAUCAGUGUACAUGCUAACAGAUGAUUAGAAUGUCAAACCAUUUAUUUAAAACACAUCCCUACGAGAAAAUUUAAAUUUAUGGAGCAAUUUUGAUUGUGAAAAGGAGACUUGGUUAGAGCUAAGUCGAGGAGGUCAUGAAGCGUGAACAUGAGUCAUCCUUCUCAUUGGACGGAAUAGCAGUGUUCUAUUCAAAUCGACUACAUGGUUCUAUAACAUCUCAAAUUGUUCAUCAAAAUGGGUGUUGUGCAUUAUCCGAAUAUGUCAAAACAUGGGCCAAAACAGAUACAAAUACCAGAAUGACUAAACAACUCUUUUCGGAUAUAAAUCUAAAAUGUCCAGCACUUAUUCGGAAAAGAGAAAAGACACUGCCGAAAUAAGAACUUGAAAAGUAGAGAGUUUUCCUCUUAGAAUAUAAAAAAAAGUACCAAGCUCCACCGGUUAGAUGAUAACAGAGACCCAGGAAUUCAACUCCACAGCUAGCCCAGACUGACAUCUGAAAAUAUAAUGAGGGAAGCAUAAUGAGAAUACAAAAUAAACAAAGAUUUCUGAAUUAGAGUCUCAACUUAUUCUAAUAUAAAAAGAGUGCUUCGGAAAAAUACACAAUCAAUCAUAAGCCUCCAACACAAAACAGUCAGUUUUUAACCAACCAACACACCGUUGCUGUUAGCGAGCUACACGAAAAACUGAACUACUAAGCAAAGAAAGUUGGUUUAGGCUUCACGUCUCGGAAACAAACUGACCUGCUGAUGAAAUCAUGAAAUGAGAAAUGUACAGCACAACUUGUCCCAUCAGUGCAUAGAGAUAAUAUCAUGUUUGGCAUUUACAAUUAAAUCUUCCAGACCACCAAGAACCCAAGAACAUACAAAUCAAAUAAAACUACCAGCAUAUGAUACCAAAAGAAAAAUGAUCAGAUUGGAUCUUGACAAUGCAUCUUACCAAAAGACAACAGUAAGAAAUUUAUCAAAGAGAAGCCAAAACAAACCACACAAUGAAUGAGACGGAGGAGAAACAUGUGCUAUGGCCCAAGAGAUUCUGACCUACCAUUGCAAUUUGCAUAAUUCUAUUGCAAACAAUGUUUUUUAUUCGAAUUCACUAUUUUCAUGGAAAUUUGUGGUUGAACAAUAGCCUUGAAAAGCAUGACGAUAACUUGGCCUUUAAGUUGCAGCAGGGUCAUCACGUGUGACCCAUGUCAACCGGCACAGCAAUGCUUGUUUACAAACGUCUAUCUCAUCUUGCCAAAAAGAAUGAGUAUUUCCAUUUUGACAUGAAGUAAAUUAUGACAAGUUACGAAACUGGUUAUUAUCAUGGAAAUUUGCCACUGAGCUUGCGAGGAGUGUUUGUGCACAAACAUGCAUCUGAUCAUCUCUUAUCAGACAAACCUUUUCUAAUCUGCAAUAGAAGGAAGGCUUUUUUAUGGCUAGAUGCAUUUUCCUCUCAUCUUAUGAAGCACUAGAAAGAUAGUCCAUUAUUAACAAAGGAAAAUCCAAGUUGGAUAAAAGAAUAUUUAAGCCCCUAUCAAUUAAAAUUUCUUUAACUUUUCGUUCUCCGAAUAGAUUGUAUCUAUCAUUCUAGUUUGCAUAACAUUUAGGUCCAAACUCAAAAUUUUUUAUUUGGUAACAAGUAGUUUUCAUAAACUUUUAGAGAUAAUCAGAAAUUUGUUUAAAUUCUUUGCAAAGCUGUCUUCCUUGUGUCAACCUCUUAGCAGCCAUUCUUGGUUGGCAUGUUUUCCCUCCUUUUUAUAAAAAUAAGGUACAAAAAUUUCUGAACUUCUUCCAUCACUAAAUCAAGGUGACUAGUUCAAAAUAUCACAAUAUACCUACAUCUCCAACUUUCAAGACCAAAGGAAACCAAACAAUUUUUUCCCUAAAUCAGAGAUGCCUAUUACAAAGAAAAGCUAUAGAUGAUUUUCCAUUGACAACACAUAUUGUUCCAACUAUAUUUGGGAAGGCUACAUGAAUUUUUAUCCACCAUUAAACUCUGUGUAAGGAAAUAUCUUUAGUUAAAUCAAAGCACAUUCAAACCUUUUUUUGUUGUUUCUAUGAAAGUCUAACUAUAUCAUUCUUUACCUCUCAUCGCUGAAAUCAUCAUAAUUGACUCAACUCAUCUUCCCAUAACUUUGAUGUCUUCUUUGGACAUGUCACAAAAUAAAAAAUUAUAUGUAAACCAAACACCAAAGAAAUUUUUAACCAAAUUAUUAACAGACUCCGCCUAUCCAUCCAUCUUGGCCAAAAUUGCAAAAGAAUAUUCUAUUUAUUUUAGCUGCUAUCCCAGCAAACUUUAAAUAAUAAGAUAAAUAAUGAUGUACUCCAAGAAAGAACUCUACCAAACAAUGUAAAAGACAAUGAAUGCUUUUUAUUAUCCUAACUAAAUAGCCUUAUUAACAAAAAAAGGAGAUAAAUUGAACAUGUCAAUAGCCAAACAAAUUUCUUAUGGAACUAUGCUUGCUGUAGUAAAUAUGGAUCUGGAUUCAACCAAAUGUUAGUGGCAAAGAUAGUUUUCUUUGAAAGAAAAUAAGCAGGUUAUUGUAAUCAGCAGGGUUCAGCUUAGAACUACAUCGGUGUGCAAAGCAAAAUACCAAUUCUUUGAUUUCAUAGUGGACUGCUAGCAGCACUGAUAGGACAGCUCAAGCUCAUAACCAACAAUCUUCUAUUUUCGAAGCAAACUGAGGUGAAUGUGAGUAAUUAUUUUCCAGUUAUAAACUGAUAGCUAUAAACGAAAUAACUGAUUUAAAAAUCCUCAUUACACAAGAAAAUAGCUAAUGUUCACAGAUUGAUUACCAAAAUCAUUAAUAAUGGAAAUAGUUCGCUUAAAAUUCAAAGGUCAACUGACACAUUCAGCAUCAGAACAGUCCAAAACAAGCUACCUCAGAGCACACAAGCAUGAACGCCUUUAGCAUUAGAAGAACAAAAAAAUAAUGCACUUAUCUUACAUAUGAACUAAAUUGAAAAUGAACUAUUCCUGCUUUUAUUCAAACUUAGUUCUACAACCAAGUAUCAUAAUCCUAAGAAAUCAUGGACCAAAAUUAAUUUGAGAACUGCAAAUAUUAAUAGAUAGAACAUAAAGAGGCUACAAAAGAAGUUAUGCUGAAACUGGAGAGAGUUAAAGUGUCUUAUUCCACUGAUAUUUUUAAGACAGUAGACUCACCGGGCUUCAUGCUCCGGAAGAUAGAGAUUGCAAUGGGUAUGAUACCCACGAGUGCAAGUUGAAGUUGUUCAGAGGUGCUCGUCCUGACAGUGAUCUGCCCAGUCCGCUUGUUGUUCAGCCCAACGCGAACUGCCAUCUUUGAAUUCCUCCCAAUGGAGAAUUGAGACUGCAGGUUUGCACCCAAAGCCAAAUCACCAUGCCAACUCAUCAAAGAUAACCCCAAGGUGGCAAGGGCUUGGCUUAUGGGAUAAUCCUUAUCUCGGAGUCGCACCUCCAAAUUGGCUCCAUAUGCAGUAUAACCUUGUGCUCGAACAGCACCAGUGCUUGCAACAAGAUUCACUUGCUUCCCAAUAGAAAGUUGGUCUUCAAACUUUAAUCCAGUAGCUAUGGUUUCCCCCAAGAAAGUUACGGAGAUCCCUCCAGUAGUCCUGUUCUUUUUCAAUAUCUUGGACUUGGUCUCACCCCGCAGAAUGUAAGCAAGUUGCUUUCCAACAGCCUGGAUAUCAAAGCCAGCGAGAGUAGAACCAUUUUCCCCAUGCUUGGCCGAGACAGAGGAAUCUAAAUGGAUGCUGAAUUCCUUUUUGUCCUUAGUCACUUGAGCUGAUAAGACAGCAGGAAAUCGGCCAGCAACAGCGAGGCUCUCUUCAAGGCUUACCCCAUCAUAACCACAAUCAUGAUCCCAACCAUGCGUAUCCAGUACUGGCCUAGCAAGAAACUGUGAGGUUGGCUCUAGAAAACGGUAUCGAUACGUUGGGGUAUCACAGUCAAAAGAAGGUGGCAAUACCAUAUCAGGCAAAGGGACAGGUAUGGUUGCAGGGGAAUUAUCCUGAUCAAAAUCUUCAACCAUAUCAGCAUGCCCAAAAUCAUCCUCAAACCCUUUCUGUCUAUUCUUCAUCUCUUUCAAUCGUCUGAGCUCCUCCUUCCACUGUUUUUUUUGAAGAAGCUUAACUCGGUAAUCAUACUCAUCAAAAUAUGCUCUUCUUUGCUCCUUGGUCAGCUUGGCAAUUUGAGACUUCCUCAGGGGCUUAAAUGGUGGAAGUUGAUCAUACUCUUCUUCUUGUUCCCCUUGAUCAGCAUCUGAUAAGUCAUCUAGGUCAAUAUCAGAAUCUUCAUUGUCACCAUGUUGAUCGGAUUGAAGUUUUGGGUGUGCUCUGGACUGCAACAGAGAAGAAAGCAGGAAGGGAAGCGGUGGGGGACGUAAACGGAGACCAAACAGUUUUCCAGGAGAUGGAUCUUGAAGCUUUAGAAGUGAAUUAGCUUCAGAUAAUAUCUUUGAAGAGUAACAGAGCAGCAGCAUCUGUGGCCUCCAUGAUAGACCAUUAGGGAGCACUUUUUGUCCCUCUCUGUUCCUUCUACAAGAUGGAUGGUUCUCAACAAGAGCCACUGGAUUCAUCAGACGCAUGUCUCCAGCUGCUAGCCUUAUGGACUGCUGAACAGCAUGAGACCUUUGAGCCACAAACACCUCAUAGCUCAAAGGGGAACCACUUGGUCCAUCCGGAGGAGCAGAUGCAGCAUGUGUGAGAGCAACAAUGGCGUUGAACCAUAUGGAUGAACCCAAAGUGCUUGUAAUUGUUCUUAGCAGAGGCAAGUCAUUCUGAUCUCGGGUCAGUGUGUCCAUUCGGUCCACAUACAAAACAAUGUCUGGAGGGCAUCUCUUCGUGUAUUUCUUUAUAGAUGCCAAGAUUCUCCUACUUGAUGCUUGGUCCAUUCCUGAAGCUCUAAGACCUGGAGUAUCUAAAACCCGAAUCUUAACCCCCUCAACGGUUCCUACAAUCUCUUUGACAGAAGUUGUUUCUUGUUUGAAUGCAUUGGUUGGAGACUUCUCUUCACCAAAUAUAGAAUUUAUAGUUGCACUCUUGCCCACUCCGCUCUUUCCAAGGACUAGAAUGUUACAGGAAAAAUCCAAAUCUGCAUUUCCAUCCUGUUCUAGCAGCGAAGCCUUCAUUUUUGCACUCUCAAGACUAUAAGCCCUGCUGGUUUGCCUUCCACUACGAAUACCUUCAGCAAGACUCAGACGAUAUAGCACCUGGGCUACCACCGUGUCUUCAGGUGAAUGGCCCAACCUAUGAACAAGACGUAGAAACUUCACCCUAAUAAGCUCAACUUUCUCAUGCAACUUUUUUUGUUCCUCAGUCAUCUGAUUAUCAGGCUCUGCUGCUACAGCCAGUUCAGAAGGACUAAGAAGGUUUGAUCUUGCAGGACGAGGAGCAGGUUUCAGAGAUGGAAUUGAGGACCCCAAACCAGCUGGACGGUCGACCAAGAAGAUUCUAUUAGCAUCUUGAGAAGUGACACUGAUACCUCCAUCAGCAGUGGAACUGCUUGCCGCUUUCAGAAGUGCAACCAAUGCGUCAGAAUCAAU